rnacentral:misc_RNA from 1 species
CCAAAAACAAAAAAAAAAAAAAAAGGAUUGCUUCUUGCAAGGCCAGCCCCAGGAGCAGCAUAUUUUCAUUUGAGACCACCGAGACAGACCAGUAGCAGUACAAUAGAUGUUUGUCCCUAUUAGCUUUGUGCAUAAUUUAAACCUAGGAACCUGCGCCUUUUAACCCUCUUUUCUGCACCUUUGCUUGUGUUCUCAAACCCCAAGAUUCACAUCUCUCUGACAGGUGAGUUUUCUUGUCAAGCAAAACUGAAAAAGUAAAGAAAACGCAGCUUCCCCAAUGUCUCUUUGAGAUUCUGAUAGCGAUACAUCUUUUUCCCCUAUUCAAUCGCUUCGCUACAAUCAUGGUGGUGAUUGUGCAUUGCGCGAAGGAGGGACCCUUGCUCAAGGAAAAACAGAGAAAGAAACUCCCUUUUCCAUUUCCAUUCCAUGGCGUCCCUCACGCCUGCAUUUUCGAGAAGCUUCGAUAGCAUCCCAGGCGUGAGGGACGC